GGAUACAUAGUAGGUUCUGUACUUGGAAUUGAGUUUGGCUGAAAGUGAAAACCUCCUCCCUAGGUACCCUGAGUUUGUGGGUGCCCCGAGGUGCUGAAUGACUCUCCCUGAGGCAGCUUGAGGCUCAGUUUCCCAGCCAGCCCUGCCUGCCACUCAAAGGAGGUGCUGAGGAGAUCCUAGAUACGUCAAGGAAAGAAAACACAAUGUGAUCUCUCUGAAGCAUCUCUGCAAGUUUGCAGCCAAAAAUGCUGAGUUAUUUCCUGAGGGUGCCGCUGAAUCAAAGGGCUGUCAGCCUGCUUGAACUGAAGGCUUCGACCCAGGAGAGCUGAAAUGAGAAAUAUUCUCCCAGCAGGAAAGUUCUCUAAACUUCGAUGUGCGCGAUGUGUCUUCCAAUGGGACUCAGAGUUCCCUGAUUAAAAAGCAAGUCACUGUGUAGGCAAGCAGUACCUCUGUGCUGGGGACUCGACUUCUGUAAUGGGGAAGGAUGCUCUGGACUGGAGCCUUAAUUAAAGCCUGAGGAACUCAAUGAAGACUAAAUGAGUUGCAAUAAGAUAAUUACUUGGGCAUUCAUUACAUCCACCACGAGCUUGUGUAUGGAGCAGGGAAGUAUUAUCCGCAGGAGCAUAAUUUUAAACUCUCACUAGAAGAAGAGAUCACAGUUUAUGUCACAGGCAACUUUAUUAUUGUGAUCUUUGUUUAAUAAAUAAACAAAAGCAUAUAAUGAAGAAGCAGAUGUUUUUAAGUUGAUGCCCUUGAACUCAGGGUUACUUGACCUAAACGCAUGGUGUCUGUCACAUGGCAGGCAGUCAAUAAACAUUUGUUGAAUGGA